rnacentral:rRNA from 1 species
AUGGCCGCCUCCUCCUCCUCCUCGCUCCGGAUCCCCGCACCAACCCACCACCCCGCCGCGGGGGCGCGUCCGCGGCGGCUGCCCUUCCACGCCGUCUCCGUCCGCCCCCGCCGCUCCGCAGCCUCCGCCUCCGCCUCCUCCUCCUCCCCGCAGCAGGCGCCGGCGCCGGGCGACGGCGACGACGCCGACGGGCCCACCGGCGUGCCCGUGCCCGUGCCCUUCUCCCGCGACUCCGCCAUCGCGCUGCCUCGGCCGCUGACGAGCGCGGAUCUGAUGGGGGAGGCCAGCGGGGAGGGCCUCAGGGUCGCGUACCAGGGGUGCCCGGGCGCCUACAGCGAGGCCGCCGCCAAGAAGGCCUACCCGAGCUGCGAGACCGUGCCCUGCGAGUACUUCGAGACCGCCUUCCAGGCCGUUGAGAAGUGGGCGGCUGACCGUGCAGUGUUGCCGCUGGAGAAUUCCUUGGGCGGCAGCAUACAUCGCAACUAUGACCUCCUGCUUCGCCACCGGCUGCACAUUGUGGGUGAGGUGCGGCUGGCGGUUCGUCAUUGCCUGCUCGCGAACCGUGGCGUCAAGAUUGAGAACCUGCGGAGUGCCAUGAGCCACCCUCAGGCUCUUGCGCAGUGUGAGCAAACACUGACGCAGCUAGGAAUUGAACACAGAGAAGCUGUCGAUGAUACAGCGGGUGCAGCCAAGCAAAUUGCAGAAGAAAAUCUCCAAGACACUGCUGCUGUUGCCAGUUCAUUGGCUGCUCAACUUUAUGGACUGGACAUUCUUGCAGAAAAUAUCCAGGAUGACGCAGAUAAUGUAACCCGUUUCAUGAUGCUGGCUCGGGAACCCAUUAUCCCUCGCACAGAUAAGCCAUUCAAGACUAGCAUAGUAUUCUCUUUGGAAGAAGGACCUGGACAACUCUUCAAGGCGCUUGCUGUCUUUGCUCUGAGAAAAAUUAACCUCACCAAGAUGGAAAGCCGUCCACACAAGAAAAAGCCUCUACGUGUAGCUGAUGAUAAUUCCACCCCGCUGAAGCACUUUGACUACCUUUUCUACGUAGAUUUCGAGGCAUCAAUGGCUGAUCCGAAUGCACAAAAUGCUCUGAGUAACUUAAAGCAAGAGUUUGCCACCUUCCUAAGAGUUCUUGGGAGCUAUCCUACCGAUGUCACCGAAGCAUGA